GACCGCGAACGCUCAAGGUUGCCGCACGCAGGUUUUUCCUGAAAUACUAGGCUUUAGAAUUUCACCAUAUGAAUUUUGGGAGAGAGGAGCACAGUUCAGCCCAUAACUAACACACGACGGAAUGAAGUUGAUAAUAGUGAGACCUUGUUGGUACAAGACUAUGUAACAUAACCUGCGCUUCUCAACAAAGAAUUGCUUUUCUGACUUCUGCACUCAAUAGCAAGACAAAUCUCUCCUCUGCCUUCUCCUUAUCAGACUACUCAACAUGAAGGCAAUAAGAAUGAAGACCUCUAUGUAUAAUAAUUGACUUCCACUUAAUAAAUACCUGAACAGAUGUUGAGUACAAGCUGAUCCACCUACGUUCAACCUGAGAGAGUCCACAUCCACAGACUGUUUCAUUUCCCUUUUUCAAUUUACAUAGAAGCAUAGAUUCUUGCUGGCAUAUACAAAUGCGCCAUUUAAGGCAAUCAAAAAUGGUUCCACAUCUCAUCUGAUUUCCACAAUUGUUGCUGUAACGAUGGACUACUGAGGAGAGAGACAAUUUCUCUGGCACAUCUUCCCACAUUUUAGCAACAUGUUCAUGGAGAGCCAAUAUUCAGUAAUUACAGCCCAAUUCCUCACAAUUUCACAAUUCGCUAACAAUAUGCAUUUUCACAAUGUAAAGCUGAUUUUCCUUUAACCAAAUCAAACAUGAAAAGAUAGCUGCAUGCAAUGGGCAAUCUAGAUCAUUAGAAGAUUGAUGUAAAAUUAGAGGACACUGAGACUGGAAUAGAUUGCAAACUUCAGGGAGCUCAGAAAACUUGUAAACUCUACAUUUUGAGGAAAUAUGUUGUCGAUGCUUUUGCAACUCUAUGCAGUAACUUAACAAAUAAAGCCUUAAAGUAA
rnacentral:lncRNA from 1 species